rnacentral:rRNA from 1 species
UACGUAGGGCGCAAGCGUUGUCCGGAAUUAUUGGGCGUAAAGCGCGUGUAGGCGGCUUUGCAAGUCGGGGUGUGAAAGCCCUCGGCUCACCGAGGAAGUGCGCCCGAAACUGCAGAGCUCGAGUGCCAGAGAGGGUGGCGGAAUUCCCCCAAGUAGAGGUGAAAUUCGUAGAUAUGGGGGAGGAACACCAGUGGCGAAGGCGGCCACCUGGAUGGUGACUGACGCUGAGACGCGAAAGCGUGGGGAGCAAACAGG